GCGAGUCGAGCGAGAAAGUACCCGCAAGGGAGUGAGUAAAGCGGCGAACGGGUGAGUAACACGUGGGCAACCUGCCCUUCAGUCGGGGAAGUAACCCAUCGAAAGGUGGGCGUAAUACCGGAUAAUGUCCUUUGGGGGCGAUCUCGGAGGACCAAAGGGGGCGAGCGGAAGCGGCUCCCGCUGAGGGAUGGGCCUGCGGCUGAUUAGCUAGUUGGUGGGGUAGCGGCCUACCAAGGCAACGAUCAGUAGCCGACCUGAGAGGGUGACCGGCCACACUGGGACUGAGACACGGCCCAGACUCCUACGGGAGGCAGCAGUGGGGAAUAUUGCGCAAUGGGCGAAAGCCUGACGCAGCGACGCCGCGUGGGUGAUGAAGGCCUUCGGGUCGUAAAACCCUGUCGGGUGGAACGAAUCUCCUCUUCUCUAAUACAGGAGAGGAUUGACGGUACCACCGAAGGAAGCCCCGGCUAACUACGUGCCAGCAGCCGC
rnacentral:rRNA from 1 species